GCAAGUCGAGCGGAAACGAUGAUAGCUUGCUAUCAGGCGUCGAGCGGCGGACGGGUGAGUAAUGCUUGGGGAUCUGCCCUGAUGUGGGGGAUAACAGCUGGAAACGGCUGCUAAUACCGCAUAAUGUCUUAGGACCAAAGAUGGCCUCUUCUUGAAAGCUAUCGCGUUAGGAUGAACCCAAGUGGGAUUAGCUUGUUGGUGGGGUAAUGGCUCACCAAGGCGACGAUCCCUAGCUGGUCUGAGAGGAUGAUC
rnacentral:rRNA from 1 species